GCCACUCCUAAUACGGUGGGUAGACGUUACCAAGAGAAAAGCCCUGCUAACUUCGUGUUAGCGCCGGGUAAUACGAAGGGUGCAAGCGUUAAUCGGAAUUACUGGCGUAAAGCGAGGGAAGGGGGUUCAGCAAGUUGGAUGUGAAAUCCCCGGGCUCAACCUGGGAACUGCAUCCAAAACUACUGAGCUAGAGUACGGUAGAGGGUGGUGGAAUUUCCUGUGUAGCGGUGAAAUGCGUAGAUAUAGGAAGGAACACCAGUGGCGAAGCGACCACCUGGACUGAUACUGACACUGAGGUGCGAAAGCGUGGGGAGCAAACAGGAUUA
rnacentral:rRNA from 1 species